UGGUUGUCGUCAGCUCGUGUCGUGAGAUGUUGGGUUAAGUCCCGCAACGAGCGCAACCCUUGUCUUUAGUUACCAUCAUUCAGUUGGGGACUCUAGAGAGACUGCCGGUGAUAAACCGGAGGAAGUGGGGAUGACGUCAAAUCAUCAUGCCCCUUAUGGCCUGGGCUACAAACGUAAUACAAUGGCGUAUACAAAGGGAUGCGAAAGGGCGACCUGGAGCAAAACUCACAAAGUACGUCUCAGUUCAGAUUGGAGUCUGCAACUCGACUCCAUGAAGGCGGAAUCGCUAGUAAUCGCGGAUCAGCAUGCCGCGGUGAAUACGUUCCCGGGCCUU
rnacentral:rRNA from 1 species